UAAUUUGAUGAUUAUAGGUUUAUUAUAAGAAAAAUUGUCCAAUUUCAUGCCUAAACUGUGAACUAAGAGUGAUAGUUAUUAAGAAAAGUAUAAAAAUAUCGGUUUCCUCUGGUAAGCACGGUCGUGUACACAAGAUUGUAAACACCAAUGGAGAGGGUAAGGCUCUUAAUGUCGGAAGUGGUGCUUUACAAAUCGGUCACUAUAGAACACUGCGAUCGAGAAUCUAGGAUUUUGUAUUUAGCGCCAUCCUUCGGUGAAAGCAUUGAAGAUAAAGGAUAUAAACUAAACCACUUAAACUGAGCUUAAUUAAUGAUUGAACUAAACUAUUUUUCAUAAUUUUUCUCCGUUUAUUUAAAGUAAAUACAUAUACAAUAUUUCAUCUAGUAUAGAAAAAUGUUGUUUAAAUGAAUAUUAAUUAUAAACUGUUAUUAAAUAUGUAUUAUUAUUUCCAACAAAAAGUUUUAACAAAAUUACAAGAUCCAAAUCAGAUAUGUACACAUAGAUUUAGUAUUUUUAUAUUUGGCGCACGUUCUAGACCUAUAUAUACAACCGUGGUGAUAAUUAUCCUAGGUACUUUCAAUGUUAGUAUUGGACAAACUACAAAACGAUAUUGGUAAAAAACUGAUAGGUACAUUUUUUAAUUGUUGACCGCAACUUCACUACAUGCUAUAAACAUUAUGAUAAUAAUUACUUUAAAUUUAUUGAAUAAUGAUAUAAAGACAUUUUCUUUGAUAUAAAGAUAUUUAGAACCUAUUUUUGUAAAAGUAAAUUAUACCGGUUUAUAUAAGUUGACAAAUUUAAGAAUUCUAUAACUUGCCUCGAAAGAAAAUGAAUAUGACUGAAAAAUAAGCUGUUAUAGAAAAGAUAAGACACAAUUUAUUAUUUGUUCAUAUACAAAGUAAUAUUAUUUUCAUGGAAAGUAAAAAUGUAAUGUUAACACUAGGGUUGAAUUGUGAAACACAAACGAAAUUUUUACGAACUUGUUAAAAAUAGUUACAUUAUUAAAUAUUAACACAA